UACGAAGGGGGCUAGCGUUGUUCGGAAUCACUGGGCGUAAAGCGCACGUAGGCGGAUUUUUAAGUCAGGGGUGAAAUCCCGAGGCUCAACCUCGGAACUGCCUUUGAUACUGGAGAUCUCGAGUCCGAGAGAGGUGAGUGGAAUUCCGAGUGUAGAGGUGAAAUUCGUAGAUAUUCGGAGGAACACCAGUGGCGAAGGCGGCUCACUGGCUCGGUACUGACGCUGAGGUGCGAAAGCGUGGGGAGCAAACAGGG
rnacentral:rRNA from 1 species